CAUCCCCUUUUCUAAAGUGCGGGGUGCUUCAGAGAUGCAUAAUUGGACAGUGCAGUCAAAAAUUUUGGGAGGUGGGGGGGUGGGGUAAUAUUUCAUUUCAUUUGUAUGAGGAUCAUAGUGUGACUGUGUGUGUGCUGGAGACAGAAUGAGAGAGGGAGAAAAAAUGUUACCAAACCUUUUCCUCUCUGAGAACAUGAUUAUUUUUUGAGGGUGGGAACUCGAAAUGGAAGAGCUAACCCGGGCUGCUAUGGAGGCAUCGAGCCAUGAAAUUUUCAUUUGCUCCCGAAGUUUUUUUUUUUUUUUCUCCAAGGUUUCAUCAUGCAGAAUGUAUCUUGCUUACAAACCAAGCGGGUGUCAAGGCUUCGCAUCACAAUCACACCAACAUCCAUAUUGGCCUUCUCCAGCUACAAAUUCCUUUUAGACAUGUAGUCCAGACUCUAGUGCUCAUACAAGGGCCGCUGUGCAAGUUAUCUAUGACACAAAUGAAUAUCAAACAGCACUGUGUGCUCAUUUGGACCUCAUUUACCCUCUUCUCGAUGGUCCUUUCUCCUUUGCAGCCGUUCUUCCCCUCCCCCUCCUCUCUCUCUCUCUUUAUGUCCUGUCAAUAAAAAACGUUCGCUUUUCAAGUUUUCCACUUCAGCAGCCUUGCUUGUGUGGUAACGCUUUCCUUUCACCACUGAGGAGUUAUGGCUUCUUUGUCCCUGCUUUUACUGUGACGUUGUUUGGCUCUCCAUUUGUUUUUGAUCAUGCUGUUUAGAUGGGGUCAGCCUCGACUCACUCCACCGAGAGAGUCCUUCAGACUGAUCCCUGCUGUGUGUUUCUUUUCUUUUUUCUUUUUUUUUUUUUUAACAAAAUGUUUCAUCAGCCACUGAGCUGCUCUAGAUUGUGUCUUUCCAUUCAUUUUUCUUUUCUUUGUACCUUUUCAUCUUCUGAUGGAGUGAGAAGGAUGAGUUGGCCUUAGUGACGACUACUGCACAUGCAAACAAUGAAGAGUGAUGGACAAAAUGGCAAAGUGGAUCAGCGCUGUGGAACCGUGGAAGAAACAACAGGAAGAGAGAGGAGAACAGCGUAAUAUGAAGGAAGCAGAAGAACAUGAGGGGGGAUCACGGAGCGGGAAAGAUGACAGCAGCCCCACGACGCCUCCGUCUGCAGAGCGCUCUGUACUCAGAUGACCAACAGGUGGCUAUGGAAAGCAGCAAGAGUAUCGCAACCAACUGGCACUUGAGGUAUUGACUCACGACUCGGGGCGUUGACUCAUCUCCAUCCUGACACCCUGGAUGGAGACGCUCAGACACACAAAGACCUGCAGACUAUCAUACAUGCGUCAUGAUGACUGCUCACUGCUGAGGUCAAACCACUGGCCUCUGGAAACCUCACCCUACUAAAAAAUGAUUUUGAAUAAUGAAUCUUGUUUUAAUACAUCCGCUCCCUCAUAUGAUUUACCCUUUUUCUCCUUUUUUUCACAUCAUUUUGCUUUUAUGACGGGUCUGGGAAUUGAGGUCAUUGGGCAAUGAACAGUGUGACUGAAUUAAUGACUGAUAUGUGAAAAGGAAGCAAUGAAAUACUAAUCGCUCGAGUCUAUAAAAUACAAAUGUUUAAGACUAUUUCUGUUGUAAAAUGAAGUGGAAUUCUAAUUAAAAUGUAGAGGACAAACUGCACAUCAAUCUAAAAAUAUCAAAAUGAAUAUUCUAAGGAUUAUUCCACUUAAACAUUCAGGGUGCAAGUGUCUCGUAUCGUAUAUCACAAUAGUUCAAAGAAACAUGUCCAGCGUUUGAUCACCAGUCCUGAAAUCAUCUCAAAUAAAUAAUUCAAUUGCUUAAGUGAAGCGGAUGUCAAUGUGACAUUUGCACUGCACUGUCGGUCAGUGUCUACAAUGCCUCUGCAAUUAAUUAGCACAUUAAUUAUUACUGCAAGCAGUGUUUUCCUCUCCCACUCAACAAUGUAAUACAUGAAGGCAGCAAUCCCACGGGGCAUUUGGCUUCUGUCACAUUUGCAUUACACAUUGUAUUUUUAACAGUUAAAUCCAAUUGUUGCUGGUUUGUAUCCAACAGUUUUUUUUUAUUUUUUAUUUUUAAGCCGCCUGUGCAAAUUUUAUUGGAUAAUGAAGUCCAUCAGUGGACGGUGUUGGUCUGCCCUCCAUCAAAAGCUCAACUCCGUUAAAAUUUUUAUAAGAGACUCGGUACUGUUACCUUCACACAGCGCACUCCAUCAAUCCACGGCAUCCAUAAACGUCCACACACCUCAGUAGAAUACACAGACUACCUGUGCUUUGACAUUUCACAGAUGCUCAUAUCCUUGCCUCCAAACACUUGUUGUAGCAAACAACUCACUUCUUUAACUUUGUCUUCACUGUUUGCCGUGUAAGCCACAGUUAAUGUUACUGAGUCAGAGUAAUGCAGCAACACGACUCACUGUUGUCAUUCAGUAGUGUGUGGU